rnacentral:lncRNA from 1 species
GAAGCCACAGACACAGAAGUUUGGACAAUUUGUCUGACUUCAUAUUACGAGGUUGAGCUCCUAUCUCUUUGUGGCCACAGCUCAUUUUCCUACUGGAAUGUCCGUUUUGCAAGAGCAGGGACUGUAUGCUUUUUCUUCACCACUCAAUCCCCAGUAAAACAGCACUUGUGGUAGGUUUUCAACAAAUACUUGUCGCACAGAAGAAGGCCUUGGGCCCAAGAGAAAGUUCAGUGACUUGUCUCUGAUACCAAAGUCAAUAGCAGAAUGGCAAACAGAACUUCCAUCUCCAAACGCUUCAUUGAAUAUUUUUCCAUCACAUAAUGCGAGUGGAGAAAGGGAAAGGAGAAAACAUGCACAUGAAAGAGGAGGCAGAUAAGAACAUUAGUAGAGGAUUUUUAAAAAGACUUUUUUGGGGAUACACCUUAGCCUACAGCCUGUAGCUUCCUGUCACUAAACAUUUCUAAGUUCAUUCUUUGUUUCAAAUACUUUUUAACAUGCAGAGGUAUACGCAGAUGAUUCACAAAUCCCAAACCACAGCCUAAGCAGGAGACCACAACAUUUCCUUCCUGAGCUCGGUGCUAAGAAAACAGAGAACGGAUUCACGAGACCAGAACAGAUGCCUGGGGUGCGCAGCAGACAGACUCCAGCCAGGUCAUUCUGGAUGGACCAUCCUUCCAAUUUGGAAAGAUCUUCAGGGAGCGAUAUUUGACAGCAUAUUUCUCCCCCUACAACUUAAUUCCAAAAGGUCUUCCAGCUUUGAAAAAUCCUUUAAACUUUAGUUCUUGUUUUUAAAACUGGAAAAUGAGGUGUCAGAAAAAAAUAAUAACAGCUUGGAGUUAAUCUGAGAAUGAAAGGAACUAAAGAAGAGGAUAAGGAAUGCACAGCUACCAAAAUGUGGAGGUGGCUCAGACUCCAUAACGUCUAAUUCAUGUGGCAUGUAAUCUUCUUAAACAGUGAUUAUAGCUACGAAAUGUACACUCGAAGUGCCUAGAAUUGUCAUUAAUUACUCUGCAAUAUCCCAUCGACCAGAUUCUCCCUUCAAGUGAAUACACGUGGCUUCCGUUGAAAUUAGUGGAUGUCACUUUCAGGUACUCAAGAGGAGAAUUAUGUUCCGUGACCUCCCAGGCAUGGUGAAGACUUUUACUUACAAACAAUUGUUAAGGAAGGUUUCUACCAGAAGCAGUCAGCAAUAGGGAAGAAAUUAAAUACCUAUAUUUCAAUGGAGCUUUCUUUUUUUUUUCUUUUUUUCUUUUUUUUUUUUUUUUUGCUUUCAGGGCUGCACCCUCGGCAUAUGGAGGUUCCCAGAAACAGCAAAAAGACAAAAAAAAAAAAAAAAAAAAAAAAA